AUUGAACGCUGGCGGUAGGCCUAACACAUGCAAGUCGAACGGCAGCACAGUAAGAGCUUGCUCUUACGGGUGGCGAGUGGCGGACGGGUGAGGAAUACAUCGGAAUCUACUUUUUCGUGGGGGAUAACGUAGGGAAACUUACGCUAAUACCGCAUACGACCUACGGGUGAAAGCAGGGGAUCUUCGGACCUUGCGCGAUUGAAUGAGCCGAUGUCGGAUUAGCUAGUUGGCGGGGUAAAGGCCCACCAAGGCGACGAUCCGUAGCUGGUCUGAGAGGAUGAUCAGCCACACUGGAACUGAGACACGGUCCAGACUCCUACGGGAGGCAGCAGUGGGGAAUAUUCGACAAUGGGCGCAAGCCUGAUCCAGCCAUACCGCGUGGGUGAAGAAGGCCUUCGGGUUGUAAAGCCCUUUUGUUGGGAAAGAAAAGCAGCAGGUUAAUACCCCGCUGUUCUGACGGUACCCAAAGAAUAAGCACCGGCUAACUUCGUG
rnacentral:rRNA from 1 species